CGGACGGUAGCACAGAGAGCUUGCUCUCGGGUGACGAGUGGCGGACGGGUGAGUAAUGUCUGGGGAUCUGCCCGAUAGAGGGGGAUAACCACUGGAAACGGUGGCUAAUACCGCAUAACGUCGCAAGACCAAAGAGGGGGACCUUCGGGCCUCUCACUAUCGGAUGAACCCAGAUGGGAUUAGCUAGUAGGCGGGGUAAUGGCCCACCUAGGCGACGAUCCCUAGCUGGUCUGAGAGGAUGACCAGCCACACUGGAACUGAGACACGGUCCAGACUCCUACGGGAGGCAGCAGUGGGGAAUAUUGCACAAUGGGCGCAAGCCUGAUGCAGCCAUGCCGCGUGUAUGAAGAAGGCCUUCGGGUUGUAAAGUACUUUCAGCGGGGAGGAAGGCGAUGCGGUUAAUAACCGCGUCGAUUGACGUUACCCGCAGAAGAAGCACCGGCUAACUCCGUGCCAGCAGCCGCGGUAAUACGGAGGGUGCAAGCGUUAAUCGGAAUUACUGGGCGUAAAGCGCACGCAGGCGGUCUGUUAAGUCAGAUGUGAAAUCCCCGGGCUUAACCUGGGAACUGCAUUUGAAACUGGCAGGCUUGAGUCUUGUAGAGGGGGGUAGAAUUCCAGGUGUAGCGGUGAAAUGCGUAGAGAUCUGGAGGAAUACCGGUGGCGAAGGCGGCCCCCUGGACAAAGACUGACGCUC
rnacentral:rRNA from 1 species